UGACGGUGGCAAAGUGCGCCUACCGGGCAAGUGCACCUACCACAAAUAUCUCGAAAACUACCGAUUUGAUACUAGUAGUGACACCUUAUAUCGAUGCUACAAACUAAAUCAUAGUUCUUGGUGAAACUCAUAUAUAGCUCUAGUCAUGUGAGUUUGAGAUACGAGCCAUUUUAUUUUCACUGAUAUUCAAAGUGGUGAGGAGAGAUGACUAUGGCGUGAUCAUCGUCGUAAAUCUCAAGAAAUCGAGUUUUUACCGAUAUACGAGUGAGAUGGGGCGCUAUGAAAGAAAAACUGUAGGUCCUUCAUGGUCCAGAGAGGCUUUGAAUGAAGCAGUUGAAGCUGUUCGAUCGGAUAGAAUGUCUGGGUAUGCAGCCGCAUCAACCUUUGCUAUCCCAAGAAAAACUAUUAUGGACCACGUCACAGGUCGAAGGGGCCAAAAAUCAUUAAGUCUAGGCAGACCACCAGUACCUAUUUAAAUAUGAGACAAAAUGAUGGCAAAAUGUUUGCCUAUAAUGGAAAAAAAUGGCUUCGGCCUGACUCGUACAGAAUUUCUAGAUAUUGUUAAGGGAUAUGUCAAUCAGAACGAUCUAAAAGCACCUUUCAAGCUUCAAAAAGCGUUAUAAGUUAUCAAUUAAAAAACUGCAGGCUGUAGAGGUUGCUCGUAAGAAUGCCGCAGACCCAUCUGUCAUCCAAGAAUUUUAUGAUAUUUUAGACAGAGUGAUUGCCGACUUAGGGCUUCAGGACAAGCCUGAGCGAAUUUAAAAUUUGGAUGAAACCAGUUACUGCAGUGAUCCACAAAAAACCAAAGUCAUAAGUCUUAGGGGAUUUCCAUCGACUCGGACUACAUCAUCCUCUGGAACGUCGAUCUCCUUCACUUUAGUUAUUAAGUUGUAAGGGUAACAAGCCUUGCUUGAUUAAUGUUUUUGAAUAAUUACAACUAAUAUAUUUUAGAAGAUGUUUCUCAUUGAUUUUCUUUUCGUUACCUAGUUUUGUUAAGAAUUUAUAAUAAAUAUUACACUUAAUAACUAAUUUCAAUGACUAACUUCUUAUUUCAGUCCCUUUAUAAUACUGAUACCAAAUAAGUAGUUCCAAACCAUGGUAUUCCCAUCGUAAAUAAAAGAAAAAAUAUACUUGACACUCGAUUAUCAAUAUUUAAAAAAAAGGUUCAUAGCCUCUGACUUAAGAUUGUAUGGCGCAUUUAGCCGAAAUUUGGUUUUUAAUACAUAGAUUCUUCUAGAAUGUGGCUAUGAAAAAAUAAAAAAUGGCAUGCGUAUUGUUGCUUGUUUUCUUAAAAUAAUAAAGGGCUGUUUUUAUUCUGAUGCUUUA